rnacentral:rRNA from 1 species
AUUGAACGCUGGCGGCAGGCCUAACACAUGCAAGUCGAGCGGUAGAGAGAAGCUUGCUUCUCUUGAGAGCGGCGGACGGGUGAGUAAUGCCUAGGAAUCUGCCUGGUAGUGGGGGAUAACGUUCGGAAACGGACGCUAAUACCGCAUACGUCCUACGGGAGAAAGCAGGGGACCUUCGGGCCUUGCGCUAUCAGAUGAGCCUAGGUCGGAUUAGCUAGUUGGUGGGGUAAUGGCUCACCAAGGCGACGAUCCGUAACUGGUCUGAGAGGAUGAUCAGUCACACUGGAACUGAGACACGGUCCAGACUCCUACGGGAGGCAGCAGUGGGGAAUAUUGGACAAUGGGCGAAAGCCUGAUCCAGCCAUGCCGCGUGUGUGAAGAAGGUCUUCGGAUUGUAAAGCACUUUAAGUUGGGAGGAAGGGUUGUAGAUUAAUACGCUGCAAUUUUGACGUUACCGACAGAAUAAGCACCGGCUAACUCUGUG